rnacentral:hammerhead_ribozyme from 1 species
AUCCAGCUGACGAGUCCUACUUAGGACAAAACACGCAUCCUGGAU